CUUUUCCCUUUCGCUUUGCUUUCCUUCCUCCUGCAUAGGGACUUUGACCAAGGAGAAAGCGUCGUGGAAGAAGAAUUAGGACAGACGGAGCCUCCUGCUUUCUUCUUCUCUUUCUAUCCCCCUCCUUUUUUCUUUCCAUCUGCGAGUGACUUUCCGCCUGGUGCGAGUCGUGACAGGUUUACGAGGACCCUGUGAGGCAGCAAAACAGGAACGCUGUCCGCAUUUUUGAGCCGAAAACCCCACUGGCAGAGACAGUGCCCGCGGAAGCGGCCCAGGGCACAGACAGGCGCGGCUGCCGGGCGAGGGGAGGGAAACGCAGGAAGGAUCGCCGCGCUCUGCUUUCCCGGGGCCUCCAGAGCCCGGAAGGACCUGAGGCCUCUGCAGGCCGGGCCUCCCUCCACCACUCUGUCCGCUGGCCCUGUGUGGAGAGGUCUCCGCUUGGUCCGCCAGGUCCCUCAGCCUCCCCUUCCUGCCCUGCUCCAACCCAUCCGCCAACCACAGAGAGCUCCCAUAACAGCAGCCCUACUCACCCGCCGCCACCCUGCACGGCUCGGAGGCCGCAGGCCCAGCGGGCCCGAGGAUCUGGGAUUUGGCCUCCGCCUCUCCUCUAACUUCACCUGUCACCUCUGGGACCUUCAGCCCAGCACGAGUUUGGUGGCUUCUCCAGGGCCACCGUUGGCUUGGACACUCAGCCCUCUGCUGAAAUUAGCUCCCCUUCAAGACUCCGUUCAGGCUGGCAUUUUCUGGGCACCCCACUUAGCCCCCCCACACACACUUUGUCCCUUCCAUAGCAUCCUAGAGUCACAAUUCAGCCUAGGCGGUGUGUGCCUCCCUGGAGCGGUGGGGUGGCAAGGACACUGUCCCUCUCACACGCACGUGAGGACUGAACACUGCCCCGUGUUGCAGGUGUUGGGGACACCAAGCAAACACGGCACCCAUUCUAGCAAGUGGGAGGCAGCGUCAUAAUUAAUACGAGGCUGAGGCAGGAGGGUCUCCAGGAGUUCCAGGCCAGCCUGGGCUACACAGUGAGUUCAGG
ensembl:lncRNA